GCACCGGCUCAAUUCAACUUCUACUAUUUCCGAGUAAUUUCUAAAAAUAAUCCUUAAUAACUAACGCCUUGGUUAAUGUUUAUUCUUCUCAGUAAAAUACUUGUUUAAUAUUUUGCUUACUCAACCUUAUCCGACAGAGUUUUCAAUCAACGGAGCCGGGUUUCAUGCAAAACAAGUGUGGUGAGCAAACCUUCUGUGGCUGAUAAACAAGAAUGAUAACUCGAGAUGAAGUUUUAAUUUGAGCUGCUUUUCAGCGAGAGUACUGGCUGGUUGAAGCCCAUAGUUAGACUUGGACUGUGAAACAAUAAAUAAGACCAGUGUGCUUUUAGCAGAGAAGCCAGACAAAAAUGAAAUCGUAGUCAAGCUGACCAUUACUACAGUGUACUUUCAGUCACAAUCAGUAUCAUGAGGAAAGAAUAUUUACAUCAACUGAACUGCAACAAACAUAUCUUCACCCCCACAGGAAAGAAGAAAAUUUUUAAAAAGUGAAAAAUGAAUGCACUUUAGUUGCUCUAGAGAAAUUCUUGUUUAUCAAUUACAAAUUUGUACAAUUUUACAAAUUUCAGAAAAUCAUGAUCUGAAUAAAUUUACAUGUAUAAGCACGUGAUUGUUACAAGAUUAAACUUAAGUCAUUCAAUUAUUGCUGCAAUAAAUGAAUCAGACUAAGCAGGUGGUUUUCCCACAGUUUUACCAUCUGCUGGGGCCCUAAAUAGGCAGUGAGAUCAGAUACUACUCUGCAUGAGUAACAGGUGAUUAUUGACUGUCUUCUGAAAUAAUAGGUUUGUCUCCAGGGCUGCUUUUCUUUUGUUAAAACAUGCAAUU